UUCUACGGGACGCAGCAGUGGGGAAUAUUGGGCAAUGGGCGCAAGCCUGACCCAGCAACGCCGCGUGAAGGAAGAAGGCUUUCGGGUUGUAAACUUCUUUUGUCAGGGACGAAGCAAGUGACGGUACCUGACGAAUAAGCCACGGCUAACUACGUGCCAGCAGCCGCGGUAAUACGUAGGGGGCAAGCGUUAUCCGGAUUUACUGGGUGUAAAGGGAGCGUAGACGGCAUGGCAAGUCUGAAGUGAAAGCCCGGGGCUCAACCGCGGGACUGCUUUGGAAACUGUUAAGCUGGAGUGCAGGAGAG
rnacentral:rRNA from 1 species